AACGUAGGACGCAAGCGUUAUCCGGAGUUACUGGGCGUAAAGCGCGGGCAGGCGGCUCGAAACGUCUGAUGUGAAAUCUCCUCGCUCAACGGGAAGAGGCCAUUGGAAACGGUCGAGCUGGAGCGCAGUAGAGGUAGGCGGAAUUCCGGGUGGAGUGGUGAAAUGCGUAGAGAUCCGGAGGAACACCAGAGGCGAAGGCGGCCUACUGGGCUGCACCUGACGCUGAGCCGCGAAAGCCAGGGGAGCGAACGGG
rnacentral:rRNA from 1 species